UCUAGAACCAGCUAGCACCGCCUUUUCUCCUCCGAUCUAUUUUCGUUCUUCCCACUAUGAGUGACGCCGGUCACUGUGAUGGAGGAGCCCUCCUCUUCCGCCGUUGCAUGAGUGGGUUAAGAAUGUUGGACUUCAUCAUCUCCCCUGGUCCGCGACACAGAUCGCUCCACCUCGCUCGCAGUCUAGCUCGUCUUCGCUGCUUCCGUCCAUUGUUGUUGAGAAAUUCCACUGGGAUUUGGAGAGAGAAAAUUUUGGCUGGAGUAAAAAAGGAAGGGUUGAAGCUUUAAAGGGUGAAUUUUGUGUUGGGAACAAUGCGGAUGGUAUAGUUGAACUCGUGACUCGAGAUAUCCACUGAGGAGUUUUAUUGCUGAAUUGAAGCAGAAGAAUUAUUUUAGUCAAAUCUUAAUUUGAUAAAAAUUUAAAUUUUAUCCCUACGUUGACGUCUGGCCUUAGGUGCUCCACGUAGACUAUAGGUAAGAUCCUCACAUUUUUUAAAUUGAAUAUCUGAUUUAAUAUUGUAACAGUUUUUAAUUACUCUAUUAGUGUAUUUAAUUUAUUAAUUUCAGAAUUUUUUCGAUCA